rnacentral:tRNA from 1 species
CAGAGAAUAGUUUAAUUAAAAAUUUUAAUUUUGGAGAUUAAAGAUAGAGGUUUCUUUUUCUCUGA